UCCCCCGGCCCGGCUUGGCGCUGCUGCUGCUGCGGCUCGGGACCGGUGGCCCUGUUUCUGCUGGAGAAACACAAGGUCCGCAGCGGGGCUGCCUCCUGUCCACCCUGUAUGGCUUCAAGGGAUAUCAGUGAUUCUCAAUCAGAGUGCCAUGGCACCCAUGCAUACCUCAAGAUCCUUUGAAGGGUGCCAUAAGGUAUGAGGUGAUAAGAAAAGAAGCACAGAUCAGCUUCUUUCCUGCAUGGCCCCUCUACAAGGAGUUUUUCAGUAAGAAAUCUGGUUCCUCUCUAUGUUCCAUGUAAUCUGUGCACCAAGCCUUCGACAUACCACCACAGCAAAUGUUUC